rnacentral:lncRNA from 1 species
UCCCCUCCCACCCCGCUCCCCCCCCCAGCCCGCCGCGUCCUCCCGGGCUCGGUGAGGAACUGUUCCCGGAGGAGCCGCGGGACGCCGAAAGCAGCCAAUGGGAAGAGGCGAGGCGCCGAGAUUGGCACCGCGGAUGGGAAGCAAACUGGUAGUCUGGAGCUCUGCUCACAUGCAACCCACCCGCGCUGGAGCAGCUUCCUACAAGCACCCCACUUCCUGACACUUGAGAGCCACGGAAUGGAAGGAGGCUCAGUUGCUUUAGAAGGCCCAGAAUAAAAGGUUUCCUGCGGUGGUUGAACUGGAUUGAAUUCUCAUCUUCUUGGAAUUGAUCCGAAUAUCAGUUUCCUUUGAAGUCAGUUUUAACUUUGCUUCUGAAGUAGCAGAGGAAGAUCAGGAUUAUUUCCCCAAUUUUCUUGACCAUAGCUGUUCCUGGCAUAUUUUAACAUGCAACACCUGCCUUUUUGGUUUUAAAGCCAUUCCAGUGAGCUGGGAGUCUGACCGGCUUGAACAGAGAAAGAUAAAUACUGAGUAUAUGAUCUUACUUAUAUGUGGAAUCUAAAAAAGCUGAGCUUGUGAAAAUAGGGUAGAAUAGUGGUUACUGGGGACUUGGAGGAUGUGGGUAUUGUGGGUAUUGUGGAGAUGUUAUCUAAAGUUACAAAAAAUAAAUAAAGUUACAAACCUGCA